rnacentral:lncRNA from 1 species
CCAAUGGGUUGUGUUCAUUGGGCACCAAACGGUUAAAAAAAAUGGAAUUAAAAACAGGGCGGGACUUUCCAACCUGUCCAAUAAGGAACACUAAUUUCCACAAACUGUUUUAAAACAGUUUCUGUUAUGUGUCCUAAUGAACACAUCCCUGCUGGGCGUGUGCGACUCUUCUUCAGGCACAGUCGGGCCAAGAUGUGUUUCAUAAACACAGGACCAGGGAAAAUGGCAUCGCAGAGAAAACACAGGUUGAAUGCUCCCCAAACCCUGGCUCCAGCAGCCUGCCUCUGUGUCCUCCUCCUCCUAGUCUUAACUGUGACAGCCAUGGGCAGUCAUAUUCCUAGUACCAGUCUGCUGUGUAACUUCUGCCCUCUACAGCACAAAGGAAGGUCCUGCAGUAAUGAUUCCACCACUGAGUGUCUCCCGCAAGAGCGCUGUGGUACUAGCAGUGGGCGUUUCGGUUCCACUCACAUCCUGUCUGCACAGGGCUGCUUGACCCCUGACCUCUGUAACUCCACCCAUGCCGUGACCUACCGAGGGGUCAGCUAUAAUGUGACAUACAGGUGUUGCUGUAGUGACAAGUGUAACCAGCCUCCAGCCCCUGAUACCUACAUUAAGAGUCUGUUGGGGCACAGUGAGAAGCCUCCUUCUUCCGCGACGGACCCUCUGCAUAGAUGCCCUGGAGAUGAGGACGUGGCGGAGGAUGGCGCCGUGGCUCCACUACACGGAGAAAACGACAUGAAUUCCAUCUAUAAAGUCCUCUCAGAUCUCCAGGAGUGGCUAAAGAGUAGCGGCUAG